CCCUUAGACGUUCUGGGCCGCACGCGCGCUACACUGACCAGUGCAACAAGCAUCCGUCCUUGGCCGGCAGGCUCGGGCAAUCUUUGAACGCUGGUCGUGAUGGGGAUAGACUUUUGCAAUUUUUGGUCUUCAACGAGGAAUUCCUAGUAAACGCAAGUCAUCAACUUGCAUUGAUUACGUCCCUGCCCUUUGUACACACCGCCCGUCGCACCUACCGAUUGAAUGGUCCGGUGAAGCCUCCGGAUUGGCGCGCACCUCGGUGCCGCCGAGAAGUUGGCUAAACCUUACCAUUUAGAGGAAGGUGAAGUCGUAACA
rnacentral:rRNA from 1 species